CCUACCACCCGCUACCACCUCAUACCACCUCCGACUACCUUCAAUCACCUUCGAUUACCUCCGUCCUCCUAGUCCACCUCGUCCUUCGCCUCCACCUCUUUCGAAGUCGAAUUUUACCACGUAGCGGACCAGGAGCGCAGGAACCACGGAUCGCUUGUCCCUAAAUUCGAGCGUUGACUGAAGAAUAUAAAGACAGUUGCUCUAAUGGCUUUGGUGUGACAACCGAUAAUCUUCGUGCGCUUAAGCUCCCUUAGAUGUUCCAAGGGUAGAGUUGAGAACUUAUUGCAGAACAUCAGAGAGAUACCGAUUUCGACAUGAUGCAGGCUACAUUCACCUUCCGAGUAACACAGCUUCGCAAUGUCUGGAAACAACCGCGCAGUAGAGAGGACGUAUGAAAACCGCGCUCCGCAGAUUUCGAGUACCGGGUUCUCUACCUCCUGAAUCCUGCGCUCUGAGUCCACUUUCUGGUGUAACCCGAGUUCCAGGACAAGCGCUGGGUGGUUCCUGCACUCCAGGUCCGCUACCUGGUGAAACUCGACUUCAUAACAAGCGCUCCAUAGUUUCUGCGCUCCAGGUCCGCCACCUGGUGAAACUCGACUUCCAGGACAAGCGCACCGUAGUUUCUGCGCUCAAGGUCGACUACCUAGUCAAACUUGACAUCCAGGACAAGCGCUGCGUGGUUCCUACGCUCCAGGUCCGCUACCUGGUGAAUCUUGACUCUCGGAGGACAACAAAGACGAGGAGAACAAGGUGAACGAGGAGGACGAAGAUUUCUCCACAGUAUAACUCAAGGUGGUUAUGGGUGGUUGUUCGAGGUGGUUGGCGAUUGUUGGAGG